UGUAUCGCUGAUGAUAAUCUGGCUCCCUCUACUGAGCUCUGUGAGGAGAUGGCCAAUGUUACCCAAUUUGUGUCUGAGAUACA
rnacentral:snoRNA from 1 species